rnacentral:lncRNA from 1 species
GAAAAAUCAAACCUAGGUGCUUGUAGAAAGAAAGCCAAAUCAAAAAGUGGUAAGUUGUAAAUGGAUAUUCAAGCGAAAACAGGGUGCCACUAAGAAUGAACCCAUAAGGUUCAAAGCUAGAUUAGUGGCUCAAGGGUAUACUCAGAGAGAGGGCAUUGACUACACCAAAGUAUUCUCUCCAGUGGUGAAACAUACCUCAAUUAGAGUAUUGAUGUCCAUUGUAGCUCAAUUUGAUUGGGAAUUGGAGCAACUAGAUGUUAAAACUGUCUUUUUUACAUGGAGACUUAGAAGAAAAAAAAUCUAAUGACUCAACUUGAAGGUUUUAAAGAGCCAGAAAAGGAACAUCUAGUGUGUUUACUUAAAAAAUCCUUAUAUUGAUUGAAACAAUCCCCAAGACAAUGGUAUAAAAGGUUUGACACCUUUAUACUAAAGAUUGGUUUCAAAAUGAGCAGUUAUGAUGGUUGUUUCUAUUAUAAGAAGUUACAAGGAAGUCUGAUGAUAUUUCUUCUAAUAUAUGUCGAUGAUAUGUUAUUGGCUUGCAAAGAUAAGUCACAAAUUCAAGAGGUGAAGAGGAUUCUAAAGUCAGAAUUUGAUAUGAUGGAUCUUGGGAAUGCAAGAAGAAUACUCGGCAUGGAAAUUGUAAGAAACAUAAAGGAUCGUACUUUAUUCUUAUCACAAAAUGGCUACUUAGAAAAGGUUUUGAAAAGGUUUUCCAUGGAGAAUUCAAAACCUGUAAGUAUACCAUUAGCAGGACAUCUCAGAUUGUCAAUGACACAAUUUCCUCAAUCUGAAGUUGAAAUGAAAGAGAUGAAUUUUGUUCCAUAUGCUAAUGUUAUAGGGUCACUCAUGUAUGCAAUGGUGUGCUCACGACCAAAUAUUGUUCAUUCAAUAAGUGUUUUGAGCAGGUUUAUGGCUAACCUAGGUAGAAAACAUUGGAAUGGAGUUAAAUGGUUGCUAAGAUAUGUAAGAGGAUCUUUUGGUGUAGGAUUGAAGUUUGGAUAUUCUAAAGAGGGUGUUGGUAUCACAGGUUAUGUGGAUUCAGAUUUGCAGAGGAUCUUGAUAAGAGAAGGUCAACUACAAGUUAUAUUUUCACCUUAUUUGGAGGACUUGUUAGCUGGAAGUCACAACUACAAUCGAUAGUGGCACUUUCAACAACCGAAGCUGAAUAUAUAGCAAUUACUGAGGCCAUGAAAGAAGUUAUUUGGUUGCAAGGACUUGUUAAGAGCUUGGAGUGCUGAAUAGUGUAGUGGAAAUAUUUUUAGACAGUUAGAGUGCAAUUCAGUUGCGUAAAAAUCAAGUGUUUCAUGAAAGGACCAAACAUGUCGAUGUUAGAUAUCACUUCAUUAGAGAAAAUGUAAGCUCAAGAGCAGUGAAGAUGGAGAAGAUUUCCACAGUUGAUAAUCUAACCGACAUGGCAACUAAAGUUCUACCAGUAAGCAAAUUCAGGUAUUACCUGGAUUUGGUCCAAGUAAUGUGCAACUACUAUUUAAGUCAAAUCUUCAUCCGAAGAAUCCAAAUUCAAUUUUUGAACCAAGGUGGAGAAUGUGGAAUUUGGUGGUCCAAAAAUUAAUUAGCCACAUAAGCAAAGUUAGUUGAUUAACUAACUGAAAGCAUACCUGUUUUGCUUAGUUUUUUCAUGUACUUGUAUAAAAGUGUGACGAAAAAAAAACAGAGGGGUGUGAGUUUUCUGAAUUACAAAACAGGUGUGAGAGGAUUUCAAAGUGUGAGUCUUGUUCAUUGUACUGUAGAAAGAGUUUGAAAAAUCUCAAAGAUUCUUGAAGGUGUAAAAUGGUUCAAUCUUAGUGGAUUUUUGGAGAUGAUCUUGAUCCAUGGAUGUAGGAUUCAAAUCUUGGAUCCGAAUCACAUAAAUUUUGGUUGUUUUGCUCUGUUUUUUCUGACUUCUGGUAUUGUUUUUCUUUGUUUUCUUAAAUUGGUGUUCGAUCUCAAUUUAUUGAGGAACUUGGAUAAAACCUCAACACAUAUCAUCAUCAACAAUUUGUACUCCUACAACAGAGCCUAGAGAUGAAAAAAGAAGGCCUUGGAAAAUAAAUAAAUACCACAUAUUUUAGGGGCAUAAUAGGAAGUCUUUGUUAUUUGACUUCUACAAGACCAUAUGUUGCUUAUGGAGUUGGAAUUAUUAGUCGAUUUAUAAAAAUAAAAAAGCAUAUCAAUCAUACUUGCAAGCAAUAAUAUGAAUUUUAAGGUAUGUAAGUUGUACUCGUAAUUAUGCUUUAGUUUAGUGGCCUACACACACACACUUUUAUAUAUAUAUAUAUAUAUAUAGGUGAUGGAAAGGCUAGAAAUAGUACUAUUUCUUAUCUAGGAAUAGAAGCAUUAUCGUAAUCAACAAAGAAACAUUAAUUAGUUAUAACAUUAUCAACUAUUGAAUAUAUGGUAGUAACUUUUGCAACAUGCCAAGUAAUUUGGCUUUCCAUGGUGGUUAGUGAAUUAAAGUGUAAAUAAUAAAAGGGUCCUACAAAUAUUUUGUAUGAUAAUAAACUUGUUAUUACAUCAACAAAGAAUAUGAUGUUCAAAGCAAACAAAUAAGUAUCAAAUUUCAUUAUAUUAGAGAAAUCAUAAAAAUUGAUGAGAUCAAACCUAAAUUUUGUAGAUUAGAAGAUCAAAUUACAUACAUUUUUAUAAAGCCACUAAAAUAGUUGUGUUCAAGAAUAAGAUUUUUUUAGUUUUAAAAAUUAUUUUUAUAUAUAUAAAAACUUAUUAAAAUAGAAAAGAAAUUUAGCUUCAAUUUUAUACAUAUAAUAUUAUAUAAUUCUCCUACCCGGUUAGUCCACCCCAGUCCCACCCCUAUUUAACUUUUUUUCAUUUUUUCUAAACAAGACUAAGAAUAUAUUUAUAAAAUAGCAAGGGGUUGGAAUCAGUCUCAUUUUCCAUUCCUAGAAAUAGUACACGAAUACAACACCUAAGGCUGUAAAGUGUACCCACAUUUUCAAGAAACCUUUAUGUAAAGUAAAGCUCUCAAUGUCAAUUACCACCUCACACUUACAUAUCACCGACAGAUACGACAAAGAAUUUUGACUUCAUAUGUUUACUUUCAUACCUCUAUUCAUUGGCCACUUCAAUCACAAACAAAAAUUAAAUUCCAACCAGCCCAUAUUCAACAUUUACACUUUAUUGAAUACAUAGAAAUAUGUACAGUACCAAGCAAAAGGCCUUGUUUUAUACGAAGAAAGUACACAAUUUCCAUUCAAGUCUUAAGCACAUUCAGGGGGAGGGCUUUGUGGGAAGCGCUUAGUGUCAGUGCAGUAGUUGUAGAUCAUGUAAUUCUUCUGCACCCACCUCAGCCUUGCCUGGCUGGUGGAGUCCAGCUCAUGUUUCAUCCAUGGACUGUUGCUGGAGGAUGGAGACUUGGAACUGCAUGAGGAUGCUCCUGAAGACCACACACAGGCAUUACUGGCAUCAAAGUUCCUGUAGGAGGCAGUGAAGGGUGCUUGGGACCAGUCUGUUUUUACGAGUCCACCUCUUGUAGCCCAGUCAUCUGCAUUCCAGAGACUGGAGUAUAUCCUCAUGGGCUGCUUCUUUGGGAAUGGAAUUCCCAUGGCCUCCAGGUUCUUGAACACUCUAAUGGGUGUGCCAUCCACUGAGAAUCUGUACAAAAAAAUUCAACCCCAAGUUGAGGAUUAAAUUAAUCAAUCUUAUAUGAUAGUGAUAUGUAUUUGUAGCAGUUAUGCAAGGGUUCUCACAGGAUGUUAUGGGGAUUCCAGAGGACGGAAUAUGUGUGAAAGUUGGCAGUGGGAUCGAACCAGAGGUAGAACUGUUGCUCUCUGUUGCCCUUCCCUUGGCUGAACACAUUGGUGUGAAGAAUGUAAGGAUCACCACUGAGGUUCCCCAAGAAUUCAAAGUCUAUCUCAUCAUGGGUUGACCCUAGUGACGAAAACUGCAACACAUGAAGCCAAGAUUAAAAAGAAGCUGUACUCCCCAACUUCACCUUUAUUGCAACAUAUAAAUAUAUAAUAAAGACUAAGUCUUCACGUUAUUUUCUCGAUCAUAAAAUAUUUGGAAAUAAAUUUUAUCCAUUGAAUUUUGACUAGUUGUCAAUAUUUUGGAUAUACCUACGUAUGAGUAUACCUCCGGAAGUACUGCAAAUUUUUUCUAAAAACUAAGACUAAUAGAAAAGUUAGUCAUACAUAGUAGGCGGUGACCGUGCCUGCAGAGUUGCCAGGGACAAGCUUAAGCUGCAUAUCGAUCUUUCCAAACAAAUACUCAUUCUUGGACUUGAACCCUGAGCCAGAUGCUCUGUCCAAGGAGAGAGUGAGGAGCUGGCCCUUGUCAAGCAGCUUAGCACGGUCAUUUCCCCAAGUGAUGUCAAACUCUUGGUAAAAAUUGCCAGCAGAGGCAGCCAUGAGAGAGCAAAACAUGUAUACAACCAACCCCAAUAGAGAAGAUGAAGAAAAAGGAGAAGAAGCCAUUGAAUAAGUGACUGAGACUUGGAAGUGGUAUUUUAGUUGGGGUGGGAUAAUUGAGCAUUUUGUUGGCAUUUUAUAGGAGGGAAGAGAUAGAGAUGAAGAUCGAAGAGAGAAAAGGAGAGGUUAAUUUUGAGUCUCAAGCCAAGUACUAGCCAGCCAUGAGUCUGCAUGGGGGGGCUCGAAGUUGGGUACAGUUGGCUAAGUGAAAGUGAUAAGUCAUUAAUGACAUCCCAACCACUACUCACAAUACUUGGUUCUCGAGAGAAGACACCUGAUUUGCCCCCUCUCCAAGAGAUCAUCACCAAUUCUUAGCCUAUUUUAGAUUAGAGCAAUUGAGAAGAUAAGCUCAAACCCUAGUGUUAUGCUUGAGGAUGUGCCAAGAUUUUAUUGGUUGAUUGGCUUCAAAUUUCAAGUUUUCUAUUUUAUCAAUUCACUUUAGGCAUGAGGUUGAUGUAUUUUUUAGAACAUGCAUGUGAAUAAGUUAUAUUUAUAUGACUGAAUCAUCUCUUUCUCGACUAAUUUAACUUGGAAAGGAGCAUUACUGUUGGAGGAGAUGGGCACACCUGUGAAAAACCUUACGACUUUUGUCAAGCAUUAGUGGUAAAGUUAAGUACACUGCAUCAGAAAAAGAAAAAGAAAAAAAUAUAUAAAAGAAAUAGGGGAGGAGGACUUGGACUUAUGAUGUGAUGCUUUUCAAUUGGUAUCUUAGCUGUGGAGCUAUUCAGAUAACAUCUUACUACUAUUGAUGGUGGGGGCUAUUCAGAUAAUAUCUUACUACUAUUGAUGGUGGACAAACAUCAGUUUGUUACAAAUUUAGUGGCUUGCAUCUGGAUGGAGAGAGAGAGAGAGAGAAAGAGAGAUAGAGAGAGAAGUGCGUGGCUAACAAGUGGCUUGUGUUUGAAGAUAAAAGAGACGUGUUCGAAUAAGAAAAGAGUGACAAAAAAAGGGGAGAGAAAGAGAGUAAAAAGAUCUUAAGAUAUAUAAAAUUUUCAUAUAUACUUAGAUUUUUUUUCACAUACCAACCUAGUAAAAGGUUAAAAUUAAUAUCUAAAUGAAAUUCAAAGCAAAAGACCAAGUAAAAAUAAAUUGGGUCUUAGUAGGAUGUUUACUUUCCUUAGGGCUAGUACAAUCUAUAGACUAGUUGCAAACGAGUAAAAUUGAUUAGGUAAUGUUAAUUAUUCUUAAAUCAUAUUUCUUUUAAAUUAAAUUUCAAUGAUAGAAUGAAACACAUCUUUAUUCUUUCUUCUUUUUUUCUUUUCAAUCCCAUAGUGAUAUUCCAUUGAUUCAAUUAUUUGAAUAAGCAUGAUGUCUUUUAGUGGGAUCCUAUUAUUCUAGAAUGUGGAAUAGGCAGGAUCAAAUCCAAUCAGCUUGAUGGUAUGUUUGAAAAGGAAUGGUUUGUGGAAAAAUGAAAGACAUCUCAACCAUCUUCCUCACUCAAGGAAAUUUUACUUUAAAAAAUAAUUGUUUUAAAGGUAAAUAUAAAAAUACGAAACUUUUUCUCAUUGGUUUUAUUUUUAUCCAAAUUUAUCUUUUUAAAAGAUAACUUCAUUUUUAGCCUUUUUCUUUUUAAAAGACAAUUCAUUUUAUAUUGAAUUCAAUUUUUUAUCCUAAACUAAAUUUUUUAAUAGAUUGGCUCACUUUUACACUAAACUCAUAUUUUAAAAAUGCGACUUCUACUUGAAAUAAAAAAAAGUAUGAUUAUUUAAUAAUUAAUUUUUGUGGUACAUUUUUUUAAAACAAAUACAUUACUUUUACAUAAAACUUGUUCACUCAAUUGCCUCUCGCUCUUGGUAAUUUGCAGCAAUUAACAUCACAAAACUUUUCAUUUAUAUCUAUAAUCCUGUUGAUCAUAGAAUUUUGUAAUUGGUAAUUUCAAGAAAAUACAAACAAGUUAUAAUUUUUAUUUUUAUUUCUACAAGGGAAAUUCACUUAAUUUUAAAUAAACAUUAAAAACUCUUAUUUAAAUUGAUAUUUUAAAAGAUAAAUCUCUUUUCUAAAUUCCAUAUGAGUCUUCACCCAUAUUUUAUGGUUUAAUAGAAACAUUUUAAUUUUCAAAAGCUUAAUAUAUAUAUAAAAAUAAGAGCAAUUUCUCUUAGAAAUUAUGUUAUAUUUGAUUAAAUAUUUAUGAUAACAAACUUGUAUUUUUACAAUUAUAAUUUUUAAUUAAAAAAAUAAUUCAAUUAGAACAAAAAAUUUAUAAUAUUGUUCGAUUGUGAAGUUCAAAUCAAUUUUAUUAUAUUUUGCUCAAGAUGUCAAGUGUCGAGAUAUUCAGUCAGUUUUGUUGUGCUUUGUGAAAAAAAAAAUUAUGUAUUAAUUAAUGAGUUUAUCCCUAUUAUAUAUUUAAGGUUUUAUUUUUUAAAAGUAUAGUCAUAAUUAAAAAGUAUUUUCAAAAGUUUGAUCGUUAUAACUAUUUUUUUGGUUCUGAAUAAUAGAUUAUUGAAUAUUUAAGAACCAAGUUUUUUUUUUUUCUUGCUGGCGUAUGGUGUGAUUAAGAAAUAUCCCAAAUAUAAAAAUAUAGGAAAAGUGGGAUAUUUUGGGUGUCGGGGACUCUUGGCACCAAACUCUGAAAGGACUAUCAUCACCAUUAUUUUUGUAUUAUAAUUAUUAUUUAGAGUAAUGAUUGAAAGAAACAACACUAUGAAAAAAGAAAUGGGAGAAAGUCAUAAUACCAAGACAGAUACAUUAAAAGGGAGCAAGAAAAUGUGCCCAAAACCAGCUAGCAAUCCUUGACAGUAGUGCAGGACAUAUGGCUGGUGAAGGAGACAGGCUGACAGCAGAGGUUUAGUUAUAAAUGUUGUCCUUGCAUGAUGAUAUUAAAUAAUUGUAUCAUUACAAAGUCUCAUUGUCAGACUUUUAUAUCCACAAGUUUUCUUCUCAACAAAACUAAGAAAAUUUCUCAACCACUUGACAUAUAUUCUUUCAUUAUUUAUUGUAGACUGACCUUAUAAAAUAUAGCUUUAGGCUAUGUUAGGUCCCGAAAAGUAUAAAAAAAUAAAAAAUAAAAAAUAUAAGAAAAAUGAUUUUCUUUGUCCUAUAAAAAAAUAUAAAAAAAAAAUUAAAUAUAAUUAAAACUAAUUAAAAAUUUAUGUAUUUUUAAAUUAUUUAAUCUUUAUAUUGAUGAGUUAAAAUAAAUAAAAUGAGUUUAAAGUAACAAAAAAAAUAAUUGAUCAACUUUUAAUCUAUUUUUUUAUUUUCCUUCACUUUUUAUUUCCUUCUACUUUUCCUUUAUAUUUUCUUUUCCUCGCAUUUUCCCUCAAAUUUUCCAGGAACCAAACAUAGCCUUACAGAAUUUUUUUUUUUUAAAAAAGGGAAAAAGAAAAGAAAAAAGUUCAAAUUUUCUACACAUUUAAGGUGAUUAAUGACUUAUAAAAGAAUAGUUUCAAAAAUAGAUUUUAUAGUUUUUAGAAUAAAAGUCUAUUAGAGGAUUUGGAAUGGUGUUAACAUAUUUCUUGUGUUUUCAAUUUUUUUUUUAAAAUAAUUUUUAUCUUUAAAGUCUUUUUUCAUAUUUAUAUAAUUAUUUUUUAAAACAAUUCUAACAAAUAAGUGAAAAUAAUUGAGAUACGUUAUUAAAAAAUAAUUUUUUUUAAUUUUUUUUUUUAAAGUUCAGAUUUUCCACACAUUUAAGGUGACUGGUGACUUAUAAAAAGUUGAUGCUAUUUAGAAACAUUUUUAGAAAUGAUUAUAAAAGAAUAGUUUUUAAAAACAAAUGUGAUAUUUCUUUAGAAUAAAUUAAAGUCCAUUUAAGGAUCUAGAAUGUUCUCAACAUAUUUUUUGUAUUUUCAAAUAUUUUUUUAAAAAAAUACUUUUUAUUUUUAAUCAUUUUUCAUAUUCAUAUAAUUAUUUUUUAAAAUAGUUCUAACAAAUAAGUGAAAACAAUUUAAACCAAUUGAAGUACAUUAUCAAAAAUAAUUUAUUUUAAGAACAAUUCUCCGAAAAUGUAGUUUGAAAACAAUUAAUAACCAAACAUAUUUUCCUUUUCUUUUUCUCAAAAAUAAAAAUUGUUCUUGAGAACAAUUGCCCAAUAUAGUCUUAGGUUUGAUAGCUUUUAGUUUAAAAAGUGUUUCUAAAAAAAAAAAAUUAACUAUUUAAAAAAAUUUAGAAAAUACUUUUAAAAACUUAAAAAAUCAUUUUUACGGUUGGAAAAUUACUUAUAAUUUCUAAAGAAAUACUUAGAGUCUGUUUUGUAGUAAUUUUAGGAAAGUUUUUAAUUUUUCUAACACUUUAAAUUUUUUGUUAUUUAAAUAUUAAAAAUGUUAUAAAUGUUUCCUAAAAUUACUCUCAAACACACUCUUAGAGUCCAUUUAACAGUGAUUAUAGGAAACGUAUCUAACUUUUUUAAAGAUAAAAAUUUUCAUAUAUUAAAAAUGCUAAAAAUACUUCUUAAAACCACUACCAAACGCACUCUUAAUAGAUGAUUCUUCUAAAAAUACUUUAAAAAAAAAAAAAAAAAAGGGAAGAAGAAGAAGAAGAAAACACUUCCACUAAAAAAUGCAUAAACAAUAACAAAUACACUUAAAAAGUUGUUCAAUGUUGGUCUUGAAAUUCAUUGCCUCAAGCUAGCAUUAAGAGAAUUAAGUAACUGGGUUGGGCUUUGCUCGGGGCAACCUCUCAUGGCCCAAUUAAGUUUUCAGGCUGGACCAAAGUAGGAAGCCCGGGCCAAGCUCAACCUUGGCGUGUAAGUACCUCGAGCAUAAAUCUAGAUGUAGAGUUAGGCUUAGAUUGGGUUAGUGAAAUUUAUACAAAAAAUAUAUAAAAAUAAAAUAAAAUCGGCCUAGCGAAUUACAUAACUUGGAUUGACCACAUUGGAACUACUUCGGUUGAGUUCCUUACCAAUGUGAUUAAUACAAAUUCAAUGACUAAGAUUUGAUUUUGCUCAAUCCAACGGGUGAAAAAAAAAUGGAAAAAUGGAAAAAUGGAGGAUAGAGGUUGAUAGAAUUAAAAAAUAAAUAAAAUUGAAGGAGACUUUUCCUUGACCUAACCCAAAUAAGGAAAGCGCAAGUGGAGGGCUAAAAAUGUUCAAAAUGUUUUCUUAAAUUAUUAUCAAACAAAUGAUAGUAUUUUUAUCUAAAGUAUUUUCAGUAAAAUUAUUUUUUUUAAAGCAUUUUUGAAAAAAUCAUUUAUCUAGUAUUUUUUUAGGAGACAUUAUAAAUAUUUUUUCAAUAUUUUUAAAAGUGUUUCCAAAUUUGUUAAACACCUUUUUUUUUUGUGCCUAAAAAUCCUUUCUUAUAUUAAAAAUGUUUUCUAAAAAUACUAUCAAACAGAACUCUUAAUAAAUACUUCCUCUAAAAAUCAAUUAUUUGUUGUAUAGCAAAUUAUUAAAAAUACUACCAAAGAAAGAUUCUUUUCUUUAGAUUACAACACUAACUAUUUCUUUAUAAAACCUUUUUUUAUAUAGAAAUGCUAUUGAUAAAAAUAUUAUAGUUUGAAAGCACUUUUAUUAAAAUCACUUCGAGUACAUAAGCUAUGUUUUCAAAAAUAUGAAGAGGUCUUUUUCCCUUAAUAGCAUUUUUAGUGGAUUAAAAGCAUAUCUUUAGUGAUUAAUUUGAGAAUGAUAAAAAAAUAUUAUUUUUUAAGACAUUUAAAAAUAAUAUUUUAGUUGAAGAGUGCAUUUACCAAUAAUUCUAAAAAAUGUUUUUAAUUUUUUUAUCUUUCAAGUAUUAGAAACAUUAGAAACCUUUUAAGCAUUUACUAAAGUCACUAUCAAAAAUAUUUGAAGAAAUUUAGAAACAAUUUUAGGUCAAAAUAUGUUGGUGGGAAGGUAACUAUUUUUGAAUUCAUUUCAAAUAUCCCAAAUUAGAAAAUUAGCUUUGAGUGAGAUUUUUGGAAAAAUUCUAAUUAUUUAUCAUCUAUUAACCAUUUAAUCUAAUAGAAAUGCCAAUUUAGCAAUAUUUUGGCAAAAUAAUACUUAAAAAAGAGUCCUUAAAAAGUUUUUGCAAAUAAUUACUAAUUAUUUUUAGGAAUAAAUUCCAUUUAAUAAUUCAAAUACAAAGAAUAAUUAUUUUAAUUCAUUCUUAUAAAGAUAUUAUACAUUUAAAAAACAAUUGAAAAUCCCUUAAAUUUAUAUAUAUAUAUAUAUAUAUAUAUAUAUAUAUAUUUUUUUUUUUUUUAAAUUCUCAAAUCCAUUUUGGAUCAAAAAUUUUAAGUGAAAAACUAAUGUCGGUUGAAAAUUUUUGGAAGACCUAAAAUUCCUAAUAACUGAUAUCUCGGGAAUAGAAUAUCAAAGAAGCGUCUGAGAAGUAGAUGAAAAAAACAUUUGUGAGCAACGCGGUUUCAAGGAGUUUGAUUCGCUUUUGUUUUGUCACUCAAUGGGGGUGGUGGCUUUAGGUAUGGGCAAUGAAUGGUGUUUGGGAAAUGGGAAAGUGGGUCUACACUUUUCUCUUUCAAAUUCGUGCAAAAUCCGCUUGAAAAUGAACUGGGUUUUGCUAUUUGAUGACCCCUCUUCUUUACUUACAUUAGGAGUCCAUCUGUAUACAGCUGCUGACUGAAGCUUCCUCAUCUCCUUCCAAUUCCCCCAGAACUUCUACUAUAAAACCCCACAUACCCACGCUAUUCUCUUCACUUCCAUACUCGAGCUGUUUUUCAUUUCUCAUCUCUAUAUUCGCAUUCAAUGGCUUCUCCUUCUACUUCAAAUCUUUCACCAAAGUUGCUCUUGCUCUCUCUUCUGUUUGGUUCCUUUGUGGUUGCUUCUGUUGGUAACUUGUACCAAGAUUUGGAUAUCACUUGGGGUGAUGGCAGAGCCAAGAUCCUCGACAAUGGACAGCUUCUUACUCUCUCCCUUGACAAAGCCUCUGGCUCUGGCUUCCAGUCCCAGGAUGAAUAUCUGUUUGGGAAGAUUGAUAUGCAGCUGAAGCUUGUGCCUGGUAACUCUGCUGGCACAGUCACUGCCUACUAUGUAAAGCCUCCUCUUUACCAAGCGUUUUUCCAUUAAAUGCUUUCUUGGUUUCAUCUUCUUCUGACUCACAAAUCAAUAUCCUGAUUUCUGUAAUUGCAGCUAUCUUCACAAGGGCCUACCCAUGAUGAGAUAGAUUUUGAAUUCUUGGGGAAUCUCAGUGGGGAUCCAUACAUUCUUCACACUAAUGUGUUCAGCCAAGGCAAGGGAAACAGAGAGCAGCAGUUCUACCUCUGGUUCGACCCUACUGCCGAUUUCCACACAUAUUCUGUUCUCUGGAAUCCUCAGCGCAUUAUGUAAGUAUUAUUAUCCUGAUCUCCAAAACUGCAAUCUGGUUUAUGUUUUUUGGGUUUUGGCAUUGAUUUGCUCAUCCGGGGUAUCUCUGUUUCAGCUUCUCUGUGGAUGGCACCCCCAUCAGAGAGUUCAAGAACUCAGAGUCCAUAGGUGUUCCAUACCCCAAGAACCAGCCCAUGAGGAUAUACUCCAGUCUCUGGAAUGCUGAUGACUGGGCAACAAGAGGUGGGCUGGUGAAGACAGACUGGAGCCUAGCCCCCUUCACAGCCUCCUACAGGAACUUCAAUGCCAAUGCAUGUGUUUGGUCCUCUGGAUCAUCUUCUUGCAGUUCAAACUCUCCAUCUUCUACCUCCACCAAUGGUGGAUGGUACUCACAGGAGCUUGAUUCCACAAGCCAAGAGAGAAUGAAAUGGGUGCAGAAGAACUACAUGAUCUACAAUUACUGCACAGACACAAAGCGAUUCCCACAAGGCCUUCCUCUUGAAUGCACUGCCACUACCACGUCCUAGAAAGAACCGAAUCUAAGUCCAUUCAAUCAAUUCUAUUCUUUCAUUCUUUAUCAUUAUAGUUGCUGUUACAGCAGCAGAAACAUCAUACUGUUUACAUUGUAAUAUAUGAGCCAAUUCGGAUAAUAAAAGAUUCUUUAUGAAUGACAUGCACUGUUCUUCGAGCCUCAAUUUGGAUGUCAGAAACCACUAGAGAAAGAAAAGGGCAUUGUCGAAAAUAACUGAAGAGAUUAACCAUUGUCAAUAUAAUUUUUAGCUUUUUUUCAAUUUGUUUUCCCUGUUCUUUAACUUAUGAGACACAGAUGGGGCCUCGAACCAAAUUUAAGGAGUAAAUAAUUUUGAUUUCCUUCCUUUAAAUUGCAAACAGCAAGAAAGUACAGUUAAAACCACAAACCAAGCACUGAGUCACAUAAAAGCUCCAAGCAUGAUGAAGGGGGCAAACAGACACGUGAAAAAUCACCAAUCCAUGAACCCAAAAACAGUCCCAUGCCCUAUGAGUUAUCUAUUGUUAUUUUCUGUCCUGCCUCCUUUGCUUGUGGAAGUCAGCAAGCCUCUUUAUGGUGCUGGUGAUAUGUAGAUUGGGUGUGGACUCAUCUUAACAUUGUAAAUGUGUUUUAAAGUUGGGAAUGAUCUUUAGCCUCAGAAAGAACAAAUAUCUAUUCAUUGGGAUUGGAUUGUUAUAAAUGAUAUUAAAAUCGAUCUCUAACCCCUCACGUGAGAAUUUGUAUAGUCCCGCAAAAGAUGUACGUCUAUUUUGCCCCACAAUUCUAUGAAACACAACAACGACGUUAUGUCUAUAUGAGGGGUGGAUAAUUGUGAUAUCUUAUAUCGGAUGAGGAGGAAAUUUUUCUGGAGCUAUAUAAAUGUAUUAACUCCUCUUAAUCUUAUAAAAACAUUUUAAAGCUGUCAGGAUCUUUUGAGUCUAGAGCGGACAAUAUCGUUUAACAUACGAGUCUGAUCCUCUUCUUAUGACAGAUAAAUUGAUUAUUAGUUACUUCUAUUACAAUAGAUAAUACAUGAAUACUAAGCCACCUCUGAUUUUUGUUUUAUGUUUUUGUUUAAAGUUUCUCCCCUGUUCACAUUAGGUAAGCUCUACUGUAUGUGAGUAGGUAACUGGAUCUUACUAUGGGUGUUGAACAGGCAGUGAUGGAGUCUUGGGCAGGUGCUGCUUGUCUUUCUCUUGUUGUUUUGACAUUUAGGAUCUUUAUACUUGGAAAAAGUGGAUGACAGUGGGUGGAGUUAUCUAUAUAGGAAGCUCUUGUCUAGCACAUUUUUACACUAACACGCUCUUUUAAAGUUUGGUUCUGGUAAAAAGAAAUGACUUCAAUCAAUUAAUCAGCAUCCACCAAUCAUGACAUAUUCUUAUUGAGAUGAUAUUACAGAGAAGUGAAUACAUUGUAAUGUGGUGUCUGGUGAAGAUGCUCUAAUUUUUCAAAUAAUUCAGUGAGUAGGAAGAGAAUGAUCAUUCUUUGAAUAUAACACUUUAUUAAACAUAUGCAGCAAAAGAUGCAAGAGAGAGGACUUAGAUUUUGUUAGCACAAGGGACUUCAAAGGAGGAGAACUUGCGUUCUCUUUGGUCGGAAGAAGCUAUUUAUAGAGUUUUUCCUUGGGUUUCUAAUGAAAUUUCUUACUUAUUCAGAUCUCUUUCAUUUUAGUAGGAUUGGCAACUUUAUAAACCUUGGAACUAUGAUCUUUGACUAUUCUUGUUCUUGCAGUAGUUUUUUUUCUCUGAUAUAUGUUUUUGUAGUCAAGCCAUCAUGUUGGUGAUUUUACUGGCCUCCAGAAAAAAUGAAUACUUUGAGAUGCCCAAAGUGGGGAUUGUUAAAUCUUCUGCACCUCCAUCUGGCAUUUUUGUUUUUUUUUCUGUACUCUUAAUUCAGUGCAAAUAAUAAGAAAUAAACUGCAUAUGAGAAUCACCUGCCUUUUUCGGGCUGUAACUCGGCUUGUGCUAUCAGUGUUUAUUUGUUGUCUGAUUGAUGCACUUGCAGCUACCAACUGGCAGUGAUGAUGGCUUGGGCAGGUGCUAUUUGUCUUUCUCUCCCCUGUUUUUUGGCAUUUAGGAUCCUUCACACUAGGAAAAAUGUCUAGGGAAGCUGUAGUCCAGCACAUUUUUACACUGAAAUGCCCUUUUGUGGUCUGGAACUUAAGCCACAAGCUUUACUACAGUAAAAAGAAAAUGAUUGGAAUCAAGUAAUGAUCAAACCAAUUGAUCAGGACAACUUUUUGUUAAGCUGUUAACAACUUUGAUAUGCUGAAAAGGAUUCCAAACCUGGUUGGGGGACGCGGCAGAAGUUAAAAGCAAUGAUAUUUGCUCAGUACUUUUCCAUUGGAAUACCGUGUGAUUGUGAUGAUUUUAAAAAUAUCAGGAGGAAGUCGGUUGUGGUUGUAUUGUGAGUACUGAUGAAGGAGGCCCGUUUGCAAAUGGGUUACCACUGCCACCUGUAUACAACUCAUUUUUUGGCUCUCCAACUUUGAACCUUCCCAGAAUUAACACACCCCUCUCUCUCCUCCCUUAGUAUAAAUGUCGGCUGAGAAAUCAAUUUCAAUUCACUGAAAUCAAACAUCUUCUCUUCAAACACCUCUUACCAACCAUACAGCACAUCCCUCAAUGGCACCCAUCUAUUCUUCUUCUUCAGCUGUUUCUACGGCCCUGCUAAUCUCUGUAGUGGUAAGCUUCUUAAUGGCUGCCUCAGCAGGUAACUUCUACCAAGACUUUGGCAUCACUUGGGGGGAUGGGCGUGCUAAGAUACUCGACAAUGGAGAGUUUCUCACUCUUUCCCUUGACAAGACCUCUGGAUCUGGUUUCCAGUCCAAGAAUGAGUAUUUGUUUGGGAAGAUUGACAUGCAGCUCAAACUUGUUCCUGGAAACUCUGCUGGCACCGUCACUGCCUACUAUGUAAGCCCGCCUUUCAUAUUACUUGUUGCACAUCAUCCUCCAUUUGAUGAUCAUUUGUUCUCCAGAUUAAUAUGUAGUUCUCAUUCAUGUAUGUGUGGAUUUGCAGUUAUCUUCACAAGGGCCAACCCAUGAUGAAAUCGACUUUGAAUUCCUGGGGAACCUCAGUGGGGAUCCAUAUAUCCUUCACACUAAUGUGUUCAGCCAAGGCAAGGGAAAUAGAGAGCAGCAGUUCUACCUGUGGUUUGACCCAACUGCCGAUUUUCACACCUAUUCCAUUCUCUGGAAUCCCCAGCGCAUUAUGUAAGUACUAUUAUCCAAAUCUUCAAAACUGCAAUCUGGUUUAUGUUUUUUGCGUUUUCAUAUUGAUUUACUCGUCUGGGGUAUCUCUGUUUCAGCUUCUCUGUGGAUGGCACCCCCAUCAGAGAGUUCAAGAACUCUGAGUCAAUUGGUGUUCCAUACCUAAAGAAUCAGCCCAUGAGAAUAUACUCCAGUCUAUGGAAUGCUGAUGACUGGGCAACAAGAGGUGGGCUCAUCAAGACAGACUGGACCCAAGCCCCCUUCACUGCUUCCUAUAGGAACUUCAAUGCAGAUGCCUGCAUUUGGUCUUCUGGAGCAUCUUCUUGCAGUUCAAAUACCCCCACUUCUAUCUCCCCCAGUACUGACUGGUACUCACAAGAGCUAGAUUCCACAAGCCAAGAGAGAAUGAAAUGGGUGCAGAAGAAUUACAUGAUCUACAAUUACUGCACUGACACAAAGCGAUUCCCACAAGGCCUUCCUCCUGAAUGCACUGCAACCACCACAUCCUAGAAGGAAACUCAACAUUAAGGCCAUUCAGUUGAUGCUUUCUUUGUUGGCUUGUAUCAUUUUUGUAACUCUAUUCUUUCAUUUUUUUUUUUUAUCAUUUAAUUGUCAUCAAAACAACAGAAGCCUCACAUUGUUUACAGUAUAAUAUAUGAGGAUUUCUGAGUAACUUUUAUCAUCACUUAUUGCUUCAAAGUUCAAAUGAAAUAGGGUGGGAGAUUUGAAACUCAAUCUAAUGAUCAUCAGUGCGGUAGAAAAGUGUUCUCGUCCGUGCCAAUCUCUGUAAUGGUUAGCUUCAUAAUGGCUGCCUCUGCAGGUAACUUCUACCAAGCUUUGACAUCACUUGGGGAGAUAGGCUUGCCAAUAUACUCAUCAAUGGGGAGCUUCUUACUCUUCCCUAGACUUCAUGAAAAUUUCAGCAUUCUUUAACAAAGAAGUCUUGUAAUCUAAUCAUAUUGAGAAGUGACAGUGACACGAUUCAAUUCGCAGUGGCGUUUGUUAUUUUAACUUAGGUAAGCAAGUCGUUUUAAAAUUUAAGAUAAAAGUUAAAAAAAAUAAAAUACUUUUUUCUUUCAAAUAAAGUUGUUUUAAAAAAUAAUAAUAAUUCAAAAAAACCAAACCGUUUUAAAAAUACUAAACCCUCUAAACAUUUUUUUUAAGACUUAAUUUUUAGUAUCCUAAUUUUAAAAAAAAAAAAAAUUGGUUUUAAAUAUAUAAGGUAAAUUUAUUCUUUUAUACAAAAUGUUCUUUUUAUAUAGAAUUUAUUUUUAUUUUUUUUAAAAAAAAAAGGUGUAUCCAAACAAAUAUUAAAAGUAUAAUAAUUUUAAAAACUAUUUAAAAUUUUGAGUUACUACCUCAAAUUUAAAACAAAAAAAUUAAAGUGAUUCUUAGUAUAUUGUAAUCAAUACUUUUUAUAUAAGAUGUUUUACUUCUAUAUAGAAAUCAAAAAGUGAAAUCCAAAUGAUGAUUGGUAUAUGUUUAGAUAGUUUUUUUUUAUAAGAUAAAAAUAAUUAUUAUUAUUUUGUACAAAAAAAAAAAAAAAGAUUUAUAUUGUAUCUUUAAAGUCACUUCAAAAGUUUUAAAAUUUGAGAUGGUAAAAAAAAAAUUAUAACUCAAUUUUUUUUAAAUAUUUUUAAAAUCAUUAUAUUUUCAAUAAAAAUAUCUAAAAAUUAUGGCAUUUUAUAUAAAUAUUACUAUUAUUUUUUAUUCAAAAAUAUAAAAUAAGAAAUGUAUUAGAUAGACACUAGUAUUAAAUAUUAUUUAGACUUAAAUUAAACUACAAUCUAUUAAAUCCACUGUAAUCAUUAUUGAAAAGUAACUUAAUUACAUUUGGAAUUAACUUCAUCGUAUCCGUAGGUCCAUCGUAUAAUUUGGUCAUUAUUGGAAAGUAAUAUACUCAUGUAUGAAAGUAAGUUGAUCAUAUUUAGGAGAUGAAUUGGUUAUCCAUAUGAAUUUAAUUAUUAAAACUGAAGAUAUCAUACCUCUACCACCCUACAAUGCACAAUGUAGACAAAGGUCCAUCAAUAUUACACAUUAAGCCCCAAAGCCCAAUAUAGAAAUGAGUCAAAUGACAGAUAGAUACUUCAAAACUUGAACCAAAAAGUGUGAAGUAGUUAUUUUCAACACUAGAGAUACAUUUCCAAAAAUCAUAAGUUUAUCUCAAUGACAAACAUAGUUUUCAAGUAAAUUAAAGAAAUUAACUUUCACAAGCUUAAGAAUACAAUUAAAUCAACUAGGUGGGGGUGGUUGGUUCAAACUUCAGGGACGGUGGUGGCUCUAGGUAUGGAUAAUAAUUGGUGUUUUGGUAGAAGGGAAAGUGGUUUGGCCCUUCUGUUUCUUUUUUCAAGUGCAUGCAUAGACCGUGUCAAAAUGAAAGUGGGUUGCGCUUGUGCCAUCAGAUGACAGCUAUUGCCUUCACAUAUUGAGCUCAACUGUGAACAGCUGCUGACUCAUCCUUCCUUCUCUCCUUCCAGGCUUCCGCUUUUCCCCCUCACCAUCUAUACUAUAAAACCCCACGUACCCACACCGUUCUCCUCACUUCCACACUCCAAACUUCUCCCCAUUUCCCAUCCCUAUAUUCACAUUCAAUGGCUUCUCCCUCUACUUCGAAUCUGUCACCAAAGUUGCUCUUGAUGUCUCUUCUGCUUGGUUCCUUUGUGGUUGCUUCUGUUGGUAACUUGUACCAAGAUUUUGAUCUCACUUGGGGUGAUGGCAGAGCCAAGAUCCUCAACAAUGGACAGCUUCUUACUCUCUCCCUUGACAAAGCCUCUGGCUCUGGCUUCCAGUCCAAGAAUGAGUAUCUGUUUGGGAAGAUUGAUAUGCAGCUGAAGCUUGUGCCUGGAAACUCUGCUGGCACUGUCACUGCCUACUAUGUAAGCCUCCUCUUUACCAAGUGUUUUUGCAUCAAAUGCUUUCUUGGUUUUAUCUUCUUCUGACUCACAAACCAAUACCUGCUUUGUGUAAUUGCAGCUAUCUUCACAAGGGCCUACCCAUGAUGAGAUAGAUUUUGAAUUCUUGGGGAAUCUCAGUGGUGAUCCAUACAUUCUUCACACUAAUGUGUUCAGCCAAGGAAAGGGAAACAGAGAACAGCAGUUCUACCUCUGGUUUGACCCCACUGCUGAUUUCCACACCUAUUCCAUCCUCUGGAAUCCCCAGCGGAUUAUGUAAGCACUAUAGUAAUUAAUCUUCAAAAUUGCAAUCUGGUUUACGUUUUUCGGGUUUUUGUAUUGAUUUACUCAUCUGGGGUAUCUCUGUUUCAGCUUCUCUGUGGAUGGCACCCCCAUUAGAGAGUUCAAGAACUCUGAGUCCAUUGGUGUUCCAUUCCCAAAGAACCAGCCCAUGAGGAUAUACUCCAGUCUCUGGAAUGCAGAUGACUGGGCAACAAGAGGUGGUCUUGUGAAGACAGACUGGAGCCAAGCACCUUUCACAGCCUCCUACAGGAACUUCAAUGCCAAUGCUUGUGUUUGGUCCUCUGGAUCAUCUUCUUGCAGUUCAACCUCUCCAUCUUCUACAUCCACCAAUAGUGGAUGGUACUCACAAGAACUAGAUUCCACAAGCCAAGAGAGAAUGAAAUGGGUGCAGAAGAACUACAUGAUCUACAAUUACUGCACAGACACAAAGAGAUUCCCACAGGGCCUUUCCCCUGAAUGCACUGCCACCACCACAUCCUAGAGGAAACUCAACCUUAAAGGCCAUUCAGUUAGAUAGUUUGCCUCUGUAGGUUUCCUCAGUUCUGUUCUUUCAUUCUUUAUCAUUUUAGUCGGUAUCACCACAGCUCAUUGUUUACAUUGAAAUAUAUGAGAUGAAUAAAAAAUCCUUUUAGCCCUUUUUCUGUUUCUUCUCCUUGUUCUUUAACUUCUGACAGAUACAGAUUGGGCCUUAUACCAAAUUUAAAGAGUAAAUAAUCUUAAUUUCUUUCCACUUUAAUCACAAACAGCAAGAAACUUCAGUUAAGAGUCACCAAAACUAUGUACUGAGUCACACAAGAAGCUCCAUGCAUGAUGAAGGCGGCACACAGACAAAUGUAAAAUCGCCCCCAAAUCCAUGAACCCUAUAAAAUAAUAUUUUUCAAACUAAGAGAAAUUAUUACCUUAAUGGCAUGGUUGAUUUAUUCAUAAAUGAAUAAUUUAUUAAUUUAUUGAUAAAUAAAUAAUUAUCAAUUAAUAAAGAAUAUUAUAUUCGUAUUAUAUAGUUCUUGUACAUAUGACUUAUUAAUCUAAAAAUAAUAGAUAUAAUAAAAAGUUAAUAUAUAGAAACUUAAGAAACCUGAAAAAAUAAAAAAUGGUUAUUAAUUAUAAAAGAUAGCGGGACUCUGAAAAGAAAAAAAUGUAGUAUCAAAACUUAAAAAUUUAUUUGAUAAUAAUUUUAAGUAACACAUUUAAUUUUAAAAGCAUUUUUUUUAAAAAAAGAAAUAAAAAAGACAUUUCACAAGAUUUGGAAAACACUUUUAAAAAUUAAUAAAAAAAGGUUUUCAACAAAAACACUUUUGAAGAGAAACAAUGUCAAAUUCACUUUUAAUUGCUAAAACAUAAAUAUUAUUCAUAAAUUUUUUUAAACUCUUAUAUAUUUCUAAAAUAAUAUUAUUAUCUUUUAUAUUUAAUAAAGUUAUUAAUUUAGUACACAGCUCGAGGCGUUAUCGAGCCUUUACCGUGUCUCCGAUGUUCACAUUGGGUAAGCUCUUCGAUAUGUUGUUGGCUGGCAAGGAGAUGAGCAGGUGACUGGAUCUUGCCAGUGGUGUUCAACUUGCAAUUACAAAUUUACAACUGGCCAUGAUGAUGGCUUGGGCAGGUGCUACUUAUCUUUCUCACCCUGUUUUGGCAUUUAGGAUCUUUAGACUUGGAAAAAAGUGGAUGACAGUGGGUGGUGGAGUGAUGUAUGUAGGAAGCUCUGGUCCAGCACAUUUUUACACUAGAGCCCUCUUUUGAGGUUUGGUUCUGGUAAAAGGAAAAUGAUUUGAAUCAAGUAACCAUCAUCAUCAACUAAUCAUGACAAGUUUUUUUUUUUGAACUGUUUGAUAUAUUGGAAAGGGACAAAACCAGGUUGGGGAAGCAGGUAGACGAGGCAGAAGUAAGAUCUAUGAUACUUCCUGAGUAGUUUUAUAUUGCAAAACCGUGUGGUUCUGAUGAUUUAAAAAGUAUUAGUUGGGAGGAGGAAGCCCAUUUGUAGAUAUGGUUGCCACUGCCAUCUGUAUACAACUUAUUCUUUGGUCUCCCACUUUGAACCUUCCUGCAGCACCCUCUCAAGCUCACUAGAUCUCUCCCACCAAGUAUAAAUUGGAGUUGGAAGAGAUCAAUUUCAAGUCACUAACAUCAAACUUCUUCUCUUCAAACACCUCUUAGCAACUAUAUAGCAUAUCCCUCAAUGGCACCCAUCUAUUCCUCUUGUUCAACUGUGACAACAACCCUGCUCAUCUCUGUAUCUCUACAUUGAUCAUAGGAUAUAUGUAUGAAUUCUGCAUGUUUUAUUGCAGAUAAAUGAGUGGUUAUUCAGAGGGCAGUGCAUUGUAAUGGCAGCCUCCAAAUCAUCUUAGUUCAUUCAAAACAUUGAGCAGUUUAUUAUAACAUCCUUUCUAGUGCAGGAUUACCAGCUAGAGAGAAGAGUUCUUGAUACUGAUAUAUGUAGUACAGCUCUAAUAGAAGUUGUUCUAAACCUUCAAGGUUUAAAUGAAGGUGGCUUCCUAAUCUUAGUUGCUUGCUCGAAGCUAUAUGCAAUCUCGAUCAUAUUGUCACUAGUUUUAUGGGGCAUCCCAGGUUGGUGUAAAAAGUUGACAAAAGCUACCAUGAAAAAAGAUAUUAUUUAUUGUAAUUUUUCUCUUCAUUUUUUAAGUGAUACACCGGGUGAUAGUAUGACAAUUGAAAUGAAUCACAAUAAAUUAUUCAAAUAACAAAAAUUAUUACAUUGUUUGAAUUAAUUUUUAUUUUUAUUAAUAAAAUAAUUAAAUAUUUUAUAUCGAAGUUAUAAAUAUUUUUUAUUUUUAAAAAUAAAAAAAUUAUCUACAUACCAAUAUACAAUUUGUAUGUAUACACAGAAAAAUCAUUAAAACAUUCAUAGAUAAGGAUGAAAAUAUUGGUUUUUACAAAUAUAUUAGUAAUUGGAUUUUAUGAAUAUAUUAAAAAAUAUUGAUGAAAAUUUUAAUAAAAGAUAUCAAUAGGACGAAAUUAAUAAAACCUCAUACAAAAUGUUGAAAAAAAAUUCUAAAAGAUAAUAGAAGAAACAACAGUAAAGUUAUAUAUAUAUAUAUAAUUUUUAUGAUAUCAAGUAAUAUUAUAUAGAACUCGGAAAUAUAUUUAUAGAUGAAUGUAUUCAAAAUAAAAGAGAAUUAUUAUAUAUUAUUUUCAAAUUUAUGUUUCUGUUACUUUCUUAAAGAAAUGUUUUGUUGAUUUUGAGAAUCUCCUUUGAUUUUUAUAGCCGUUUGUGGUUGAUGGCAUAGAGAUCAUAGUAAAUAAUUACAAUUUUCUGACCAUUUUUCUGGCCUAUUGUUUUGUUUCGUGAAAUUGAAAAUUUGGUAAUAAAAACCUUUUUCCAAUUUGUAACACUGAAAACUUGAAGUUGCAAAAAAGGUAAAUUCAUGGAAGUUUGUGAUUGACAUGUGAUGGUUUAAAUUUUAGCCUGUGUGGGCUACAAUGGAAAUUUCAGUGGCUAAAUGUAACUAGUUUCUGCAACAUGUUUUUAACACGCUAGGCAAGAAAAUUUGUUAAUAUUUUUUUUCUCAAUUUUAUUAAUCCAAAUAGUCUAACCAUAGAUGGAGAAUGAACAAUACAAAUAGUGGUGUGUAUCACUGAAUAUAGUUAGAGGGAGGGUUGAAUGAGACUGAUAUCUUUUUUACCAAUCUACUCUAAGAGUUUAAUUUUUGUUUUCCUGAAAUUUUUUUAUUAUUUAACAAAUUGAUAAUCAUCUAAAAUAAAUUGUUAAUUUUAUUUUUCUUCCAUUUUUCCUUUAUUUUAUUUCGUGGUUAACCAAACAAAAGAAAAUGAAUUCCUUUUUUUUUUUCCUUUAAUUUUUCAUGGAUAACCAAAUAAGUGAAAAAAUUUAUAUUUAUUUCCUUAACUUUUUCUUUUUUUCCAUUUUUUCUCCCAUUUUUCUUUCUCUUGCAUUUUCCCGAACCAAACAUAGCCUAAAAAAACAGGUUUUCUCAUAUUUAGUUUUAUCAUAGAAAAAAUAUAUAUAUAUAUAUAAGUUAAAACCUCUUUAGGAACUUCUAUCUUGACCUUACGCUAAACCAGCCCACCAACCUAUCACAGUUGACAAUUGGUUGAGCUCUGGCGGUGAGUGGCUUUUGUCAGAAGCCGAGUAGAUUUCAAUGAAGCUAGCUAGCACCGAUCUUUUGGGCUGUUACUGGGUCCAGCAUGAGCGUAUUUGCUGGGUUGGUGAUGCUUUUUCAGGUACAAGUGGAGAUGGUGGUAGCUGGGCCAGGUGUGUAAUUUGUCCUUGUCUCCCUGUUUGGCCAUUUAGGAUCCUUUUGACUGAGAAAAAGUAGCUGAUACCGACAGGAGUGAUCUCUCCAGGAGCUUCUCUUCUAGGAGAAGGCGGACGCGGCAGACAGAAAGAGUCUUGCAAUCAAUUUCCAGAUUUUUCUAUUCCAAAACCGCGUGAGUAUUGUUGAUGCCUUGCGUUCUAGGAUACACAUAGCUGCCAAGUGGACACGCGCCUUCAAUCAAGAUUGAGUCCUGACUCAGUCGGCCCUGUAAAAGGUAUCCGGAUAGGGUGUCCGGACACACCAUCCGAUGAUUUUGUUAGCCAUGACAUAAGAUGAAGAUACUAAAAGGAAAGCAGCUUUAAAUGUAUCAAGAAUACUGAUGAUGGAGGCCCACUUGUAGACGGCGCUACUGUAUACAGCUCAGUUUCUGCUCUCCAAAUAUGAACUUUCCCAGUAGUAUCAGCAUCAUUAUAACUAAGAGAUUAGAGAGAUUGAUUUCAUUGAUUCAGCAUAACCAAAUUUCUUCACUUUGAACAUUUCUUACCAACCAUACAACAUAGUUUUCAAUGGUAUCUCCAUAUUCUUCUUUAGCUUCAGGCCUGCUGAUCUCUCUACUGGUCAGCUUCUUAAUAGUUGCUUCAACAGGUAACUUGGCAUUACUUAGGGGGAUGGGCGUGCUCAGAUACUCAACAAUCAUCCCUAUUUGAUGUGAGAUAUCAGAUGGCAUUACUUAAAAUGUGUUUACAUGAUUAAGAGGAACUCACACUUUUACAGUAUUAGAAACUUUCUCCCUAUCUGAUGUGGGAUAUCACAAUCAUCCCCAUAAAAACACAACGUCCUUGUUGCAUCACAAGGGAUUACAAGGUCAAACAAACCCUUACAUUGAGGUUAAAGAUCAACUUGAUACCAUUUGUAAGACUCGUUCUUAACUAUGUAGAUUUUAUCCUCUCUAAACCCAAAAUAACCCUCAAUACUUCAAAACGCAUCUACAUAAUUAAGAGAAGUACACAUUUACAUAGCGUCAAGAGUUUAUCUCGUCUACGAUGUAGGAUAUCACAAAGCACCAUUCACUGCCUCCUACAAGAACUACAAUGUCAAUGUUUGUGUUUGGUUCUCUAGAUCAUCUUCUCACAAUUCAACCCCUCCCUUUUCUACUUCCACCAAUGGUGCAUGGUACUCAAGAGCUAAAUUCCACAAGCCAAAAAAGAAUGAAAUGAAGGCAGAAGAAUUACAUGAUCUACAAUUACUGCACGGGCAUAAAGCAAUUCCCACAAGACCAUGCUCCUAAAUGCAUUGCUGCCACCACAUCCUAAAGGAAACUCAACCCUAAUAACAUUCAGUUGACUCUUUCUUUGCUUGUAUCAUCUUGAUAAUUCUAUUCUUUCAUUCUUUAUUGAUAAUAACAACAAUUGAAUCAAGAAAAAAAGUGUGAUAUCUCAUUAAUUGUUUAAGUUAUGAACAGAGGAAUUAUUUAUACAAGGGCAAGCACUAAUUCCAUAGCAAGAUGACAUGUUGGUUGAGUGGUUACAACUGAGUAGUAGCUUGUAUAACAGUUUGGUAAUUAAUCAGUUGUUAGUUUAGUCACUGUUAACUAUCUAGCAUUUAUAAUCACGAUUUUUAUAAUGUAAUUAUGAAUUAUGAAAUUUACUUAUUCUGAAAUAUUACCUUUUUUAAUAAAUGACCAACAUAAAUAGAAAAGCUUUAGGUUAUGUUUGGUUUCCGGAAAAUACAAAGUAAAGAAAAAAAAUACAAAGGAAAGAAAAAAAAUACAAAGGAAAAUGAUCUUUUCAUGUUUGAUUGUUCUAUGAAAAAUAUAAAAAAAAUCAAAUAUAAUUAAAAUUAAUUAAAAACUUAUGUAUUUUUAAAUUAUUUAAUCUUUAUAUUGAUGAGUUAAAAUAAAUAAAAUGAGUUUGAAGUAACAAAAAAAAAUAAUUUAUCAACUUUUAAUUAAUUUUUUUAUUUUCCUUCACUUUUUCUCUCCUUCUACUUUUCUUUUGUAUUUUCUUUCCCUUACAUUUUUCUUCAAAUUUUCUAGGAACCAAACAUAGCUUUAGUCUAGGCAAAAACCUUGGAUUUGCAAUGGCAAAACUUGUGUAUUUUAUUAUUGUUCUAUAUAUACACAAAAGGACGUUACUUUACAAAAAAGAAGAAAUACAAGAAGUAUAAAUUAGGAAAAAGAAGGAAUUAUGCUCAGAGAAGAUUCAAUCACAAAUAAAGUACACCAAAAUCAAAGAUGUACAAAAACAAAAUAUUCGAUAAUACUCUCCCUCAAGUUGAAGUAUGGAGGUACGAACACCCACUUAUGAAUGAGGGAAGGAAAAACGUUAACUCUUAAAGUCUUGAUAAAGACAUCGAUUAAUUGGUCUUUGAUUUGAAUAUAUGCAAUAUGAACUAAAUCAACUUUAAUUCUUUCGCGUAUCACAUGACAAUCAAUUUCGAUGUAUUUAGUGUGUUCACAAAAUGCUAGAUUUACAACCAUAUUGAGCUUAGGUUGUUAUUGCAAAACAUGAUAGUAGGUUGCAUAUGGGUAAUGUGUAGAUCAUGGAACAAUAAAAGAAGUCAUUGAAUUUCACAAGUUGUAACCAUGACACGAUAUUUCGGCUUUAUUAGAGGUGAUUCUUUAAAAAAUCACUUGUUUAUAUAUCAAAAAUCAAAAUGGGUGUUAUUUGUAAACACUUCUUGCUUUAUUCCUAGAUUAAAUGUAAAAAAUACACUUACCUUUAAAAAGUAAUGUAUUUUAAAAAGUAUUUAAAAAAAUUGAAAUAUUAAAAAAAAAUUACUACUUCAAAUUUUAAGAAUUUUAAAAAUACAUUUUAGAGAUAUAAAGUAAAUUGAUAGUUUUAUAUAAGAAUUAUUCUAUUUUAUAUAAAAGUUAAUAUUUAUUUCUAUUUUAAAAAAUAAAUAAUAAAAAAUAUAUCCAAACAGGCAUUAAACAAUUAUUUUUUUAAAGGUCCGGGAUGAACUGUUAAUAAAAGUAUACAAACAAUAACGUUUUAACUAAAAAUCACUCUACAACAAACUUUAAAUUAUGUAAAAUUCAGGGUUUGAUAAGUUUCCAACUCAGGGUUUAAUAAUGUGUUUGGUAAAAGGGAAAGUGGAUCUGCCCUUUUGUCCGCUUUAAGUGCAUUCAUAAACCGUGUCAAAAUGAAAGUGGGCUCUGCUUGUCCCAUUUGAUGACAACUAUUUUCUUUACAUUUUGGAGCCCAGCUGUGCCCAGCUGCUGACUGAACCUUCCUCAUCUCCUUCCAAUUCCCCCAGAACUUCUACUAUAAAACCCCACAUACCCACGCUAUUCUCUUCACUUCCAUACUCAAGCUUCUUUCCAUUUCUCGUCUCUGUAUUCGCAUUCAAUGACUUAUCCUACUACUUCAAAUCUUUCACCAAAGUUGCUCUUGCUCUCUCUUCUGCUUGGUUCCUUUGUGGUUGCUUCUGUUGGUAACUUGUACCAAGAUUUUGAUAUCACUUGGGGUGAUGGCAGAGCCAAGAUCCUCAACAAUGGACAGCUUCUUACUCUCUCUCUUGACAAAGCCUCUGGCUCUGGCUUCCGGUCCAAUAAUGAGUAUCUGUUUGGGAAGAUUGAUAUGCAGCUGAAGCUUGUGCCUGGAAACUCUGCUGGCACUGUCACUGCCUACUAUGUAAGCCUCCUCUUUACCAAGCGUUUUUCCAUCAAACGCUCUCUUGUUUUCAUCUUCUUCUGACUCACAAAUCAAUAUCCUGCUUUGUGUAAUUGCAGCUAUCGUCACAAGGGCCUACCCAUGAUGAGAUAGAUUUUGAAUUCUUGGGGAAUCUCAGUGGUGAUCCAUACAUUCUUCACACUAAUGUGUUCAGCCAAGGCAAGGGAAACAGAGAGCAGCAAUUCUACCUCUGGUUCGACCCAACUGCCGAUUUCCACACAUACUCCGUUCUCUGGAAUCCCCAGCGCAUUAUGUAAGUACUAUUAUCCUGAUCUCCAAACCUGAAAUCUGGUUUAUGUUUUUCGGGUUUCUGUAUUGAUUUACUCAUCAUGGGUAUCUCUGUUUCAGCUUCUCUGUGGAUGGCACCCCCAUCAGAGAGUUCAAAAAUUCAGAAUCCAUUGGUGUUCCAUACCCGAAAAACCAGCCCAUGAGGAUAUACUCCAGUCUAUGGAAUGCAGAUGACUGGGCAACAAGGGGUGGGCUUGUCAAGACAGACUGGAGCCAAGCACCCUUCACUGCCUCCUACAGGAACUUCAAUGCCAAUGCUUGUGUGUGGUCCUCUGGAUCAUCUUCUUGCAGUUCAACCUCUCCAUCUUCUACCUCCACCAAUGGUGGAUGGUAUUCACAGGAGCUAGAUUCCACAAGCCAAGAGAGAAUGACAUGGGUGCAGAAGAAUUACAUGAUCUACAAUUACUGCACUGACACAAAGCGAUUCCCACAGGGCCUUCCUCCUGAAUGCACAGCCACUACCAUGUCCUAGAAGGAACCGAACCUAAGCCCAUUCAAUCAAUUCUAUUCUUUAAUUCUUUAUCCUUUUAGUUGCUGUUACAACAGCAGAAACCUCAUAUUGUUUACAUUGUAAUAUACGAGUCAAUGCAGAUAAUAAAAGAUUAUUUAUGAAUGACAUGCACUGUUUUUGAACCUCAAUUUGGAUGUCAAAAACCACUAGAGAAAGAAAGGAAAUUGUUGAAAAUGACUGAAGAGAUGAACCAUUGUCAAUGCAAUUUUUAGCUUUUUUUUUCAAUUUGCUUUCCCUGUUCUUUAACUUAUGAGACACAGAUGGGGCCUUGAACCAAAUUUAAGGAGUAAAUAGUUUUUAUUUCCUUCCUUCUAAUUGUAAACAGCAAGAAAGUACAGUUAAAACCACAAAAACCAAGCACUGAGUCGCACAAGAAGCUCUAAGCAUGAUGAAGGUGGCAAACAGACCCAUGAAAAACCACCAAUUCAUGAACAAAACAGUCCCACGUCCCAUGAAUAAUCUAUUGUUAAUUUCUGUCCCACCUCCUUUGCUUGUGGAAGUCAGCAAACCUCUCUGUGGUUCUGGUGACAUGGACAUUGUUGUAUAGACUCCUCUCAAUAUCUACCCAAUUGGGAGGAGAUCGUUACAAUGAUAUCAAAGUCGAUCAUCGACCUCAAUAUGAGAGUUUGUUUGGCCUUACAAGAAGUGUCUGUCUAUUUAAUUAGAUAAUCUUAUGAAACACAAUGAGGAUGUUAUGUCUGCAUAAGGAGUAGGUGAUUGUAAUAUUCCCUAAAUACAUAUGAGUUUCUCUUUACCUUAUAGAAAUGUUUUAAAGUCGUGAGGAUUCUUUGAGUUUAAAGUUGACAAUAUCCCCUAUCAUAUGAGUUUGAUUCUCUUUGUGAUAAUAGGUAAAUUGAUUAUUAGUCACUUCUACUAUAAUAGAUAUGACACAUGAAUACUAAGUCACCUCUGAUUUUUGUAGUGUGCUUUUUUAUAAGUUUCUGCCCUGUUCACAUUAGGGAAGCUCUAGAAUAUGUGAGUAGGUAACUGGAUCUUACUAUGGGUGUUGAACUGGCAGUGACGGAUGCUUGGGCAGGUGCUGCUUGUCUUUCUCUCCUUGUUUUGGCACUUCGGAUGUUUAGAGUUGGAAAAAGUGGCUGACAGUGGGUGGAGUGAUCUAUGUAGGAAGCUCUCGUCCAGCACAUUUUUACACUACAACGUCCUUUCAAGGUUUGGUUUGGGUAAAAGGAAAUGAUUUGAAUUAAUCGAUCAGCAUCUACCAAUCAUUACAAGUUCUUAUUGAGAUGAUAUUACAGAGAAAUGAAGACAUUGUUCUCUGGUGUCUGGUGAAGAUGCUAUAAUUUUUCAAAUAAUUCAGUGAGUAGGAAGAGAAUGAUCAUUCUUUGAAAUAUGCAGCGAAAAAUACAAGAGAGGACUUAGAUUUUGUUAGCACAAGAGAUAUGGAGGAGAACUCGCCUUCUCUUUGGUCGGAAGAAGCUAUUCAUAGAGUUUUUCCAUGGGUUUCUAGUGAAAUUUCUUACUUAUUCUUAUCUCUUUCCCUUUAGUAGGAAUGACAACUUUAUAGGCUUUGUAACUAUGAUUUUUUACCAUUCUUGUUCUUGACAGAUAUGGUAUGGGGGGGCGGGGGCGGGGUGUGGUUUCUUGCUCUUAAUUCAGUUGAAAUAAUAAUAAAUAAACUGCACUUGAAGCCAUGAGAAUCACCUGCCUUUUCGGGCUGUAACUCGACUUGUACUAUCAGUGUUUGUUUAUUGUCUGAUUGAAGCACUUGCAGCUACCAACUGGCAGUGAUGAUGGCUUGGGCAGGUGCUAUUUGUCUUUCUCUCCCCUGUUUUUUGGCAUUUAGGAUCCUUCACCCUAGGAAAAAUGGCUGAUGGAAGAAGCUGUAGUCCAGCACAUUUUUACACUGAAUUGCCCCUUUGUAGUUUGUAUCUCGAGCCAAAAGCUUUACUACAGUCAAAAGGAAAUGACUGAAAUCAAGUAAUGAUCAACAUCAAUUGAUCAGGACAAGUUUUUGUUAAGCUGUUAACAACUUUGAUAUACUGGAAAGGAUUCCAAACCUGGUUGGGGGACGCGGCAGAAGUUAAAAGCAUUGAUAUUUGCUCAGUACUUUUCUAUCGGGAUACCGUGUGAUUGUGAUGAUUUUAAAAAUAUCAGUAGGAAGUCGGGUUUGGUUGUAUUGUGAGUACUGAUGAAGGAGGCCCGUUUGCAGAUGGGUUGCCACUGCCACCUGUAUACAACACAUUUUUUGGCUCUCCAACUUUGAACCUUCCCAGAAUUAACACACCCCUCUCUCUCCACCAUUAGUAUAAAUGUCGGCUGAGAGAUCAAUUUCAAUUCACUGAAAUCAAACAUCUUCUCUUCAAACACCUCUUACCAACCAUACAGCACAUCCCUCAAUGGCACCCAUCUAUUCUUCUUCUUCAGCUGUUUCUACGGCCCUGCUAAUCUCUGUAGUGGUAAGCUUCUUAAUGGCUGCCUCAGCAGGUAACUUCUACCAAGACUUUGACAUCACUUGGGGGGAUAGGCGUGCUAAGAUACUCGACAAUGGAGAGUUUCUCACUCUUUCCCUUGACACGACCUCUGGAUCUGGUUUCCAGUCCAAGAAUGAGUAUUUGUUUGGGAAGAUUGACAUGCAGCUCAAACUUGUUCCUGGAAACUCUGCUGGCACCGUCACUGCCUACUAUGUAAGCCCGCCUUUCAUAUUACUUGUUGCACAUCAUCCUCCAUUUGAUGACCAUUUGUUCUCCAGAUUAGUA